rnacentral:lncRNA from 1 species
CCAGGUGAGCCCAUCCAGGUGUGCACAGGGAUCCAGGUGUGCCCAUCCAGGUGAGCCCAUCCAGGUGUGCACAGGGAUCCAGGUGUGCCCAUCCAGGUGUGCCCAUCCAGGUGUGCACAGGGAUCCAGGUGUGCCCAUCCAGGUGUGCCCAUCCAGGUGUGCACAGGGAUCCAGGUGAGCCCAUCCAGGUGUGCACAGGGAUCGAGGUGUGCCCAGGGACCCAGGUGAGCCCAUCCAGGUGUGCACAGGGAUCCAGGUGUGCCCAUCCAGGUGAGCCCAGCCCGGCCGUGCCGCAGCCCCCGCGCUGCCCCGGGGGUUUUUUUUGGGGGGGGUUGGGGGGGUCCCCGGGGUGGGUGGGGGAGGGGAGACUCACAGGCUCGGGGGGGCCCCGCGGUCCGGGGGGGCUCGGCCGGGCCCUGCGGGAGGAGGAGGAGGAGAGAGAAGCGUUAGGGGCCCCCCGCCCCCCGCUCCGGACACCUGUGGGAAGAAGCCGCGGCCCUGCCCGGCCCCGCCCCCACCUGCGCAGGCCCCGCCCCCACCUGCCCGCAGGCCCCGCCCCCGGCCCCGCCCCCGCCCCGCCCCCCCUCCGCGCGGACGGACGGACGGACACGGGGGCGACGCCCUGGCUGCGCCCGCGAGUGAGCCCGGGGAGCCCGGGAGUGACCCUUGGGUGACCCCGGAGUGACCCUGAGCUGACCCCGAGUGACCUUGGCUGGCCCUGACCGCGACUGACCGCGACUGACCCCCCACAACUGCCCCCGACUGCCC